rnacentral:rRNA from 1 species
GACGAACGCUGGCGGCGUGCCUAACACAUGCAAGUCGAACGAAAAGUUCGGGUCUUUGGGCGUCCGGCUGCGUCAGGCGUGGGGACCUGCCCUUAGGUUCGGCAUACCUCCCCGACAGGGAUGCUAAUGCCAGAUAGUGUCUUAGGCCCAAAGAUUUAUUGCCUUUGGUUGGGCCCGCGUUGGAUUAGCUUGUUGGUAGGGUAAUAGCUUACUAAGGCCCGGAUUCAUAGGUGGUCUGAGAGGAGGAUUAGCAACGCUGGGACUGAGACCCGGCCCAGACUCCUACGGGAGGCAGCAGUGGGUAAUAUUGGACAAGGGCGGAAGGCCUGAUCCAGCAAGGCCGCGUGAGUGAUGAAGGCCGUAGGGAUCUAAAGCGCUUUUACCCGUGAUGAUAAUGACAGUACCGGGAGAAUAAGCCCCGGCUAACUCCGUG